rnacentral:misc_RNA from 1 species
GAUGAAGAACGCAGCGAAAUGCGAUAAGUAGUGUGAAUUGCAGAAUUCAGUGAAUCAUCGAAUCUUUGAACGCACAUUGCGCCCCUUGGUAUUCCAUGGGGCAUGCCUGUUCGAGCGUCAUUUGUACCUUCAAGCUUUGCUUGGUGUUGGGUGUUUGUCCUGAGGGACUCGCCUUAAAGUAAUUGGCAGCCAGUGUUUUGGUUUUGAAGCGCAGCACAAGUCGCGAUUCAAAGCUAUACGCCAGCUUCCACAAGCCUUUUUCACUUUUGACCUCGGAUCAGGUAGGGAUACCCGCUGAACUUAAGCAUAUCAAUAAGCGGA